UGUGGAUGUGUGCAUGUAAAGGUAAGAUCCAAAGACCGUGGUGUAGGAUGAUAGUAAGCUUCGAGCAGUCCGCAGAAGGUAUAAAAACACCUUUCAG